GCCACACCCACACAUUGUGGAAAGUAAUCUUAAACUUUUAAUAGUGGUCAUAUCAUACUUAAUUAAAAGGGAUUUGUCUUUAAAAUGUGACUAUUUGUGACAUCAAUAAGAUAAAACUCCUAAGUGCAGGAAACUGACAAAGUACUACACAACUAUAACUAUAAAAGUUGAAACGAUAAAUUCCUUUAAAAGGGACACAAAAUAGAGCAAUGUAAAAAGAAAUUAGAGAACUUCUAGCUGAGGAUAAUAUCAUUUAUUAAAGCACACUAUGUAGGCACCAUGGCAGCAAUGAUUCUUUAUUUACGAAAAUCAAAGAUUUACAUCAGAGUAUGUUCUCCUAAACAUACUACUUUCUUUCCCACCUCUGAGAUUUUGAAUACUCUCUUUAUUCCCUUUUCUAAGAAUAUCCCUCUAAUUCAUCCUUUAAAAUACAACUCUUCUAAGGUUUCCCUGAUCUCCCGACAGAGUCCCACUUUCUGCACCUUAUGCAAAUAUCUACUGUUUCACUUAUUAUCUACAGAAAGCUAUUUUUACUUACAUAUUAAUCAGGUAUGUCAUAUCUUUGUAUAAAGAAUUUAUGCAUUUAGUUAUAAAGAAAAGAUAGAAUCUGCAUAAGGUAAUGCAAACAAACUUUGACACUAAAAGGAGCAGUUCAAACGAUUGUCAUUCAGAGUUUAUCUACAGUCCUUCAUCCUUUUAAAUUAACUGAUGAGAUUCAAAAAUAUGACACUGAUUUCUUGCAAAACUAAUCAUGAUUUAAUAUGUUUCAAAGGCAUGUAGAAAGAGGAAGAAUUCUAUCUAAUAAUAUAACUUUAUAAUAACUAGAACCUCAGUCACAAAUCACUGAUUAUAAAACUCUCAAAAUUCCAUUUCAAAGGAAGAUAUACAGAGUUACAACUGGAUCUCUUAAAAGAGAAAACAAGUUUUCAAUAUCAAUUAUAAAUUAGAGACCCCACUUUGUCAGCUUCCUUUGUAGCAAAAAAUGCUAGUUGUUCUCUAAUAUCCUUUUCUCUGCUUUUCUGUAGUUUUCUAAUUUUAGCUGAGCACAUGUUUGUCAGACCAGAUACUAUGUUUUCCAGUUAAGUAUGUUCCAAUGAUUAAAUUCUCAUCUCUAAGACAUGAAUCAACACGAUGCAUACCACAUCCAGAUGAUGCUCUCAAAAGAAUGAGUGUGCAGAGUCCCCUGCUUGGCUGCAGUGGGUUAAGAAGCUGACUGCAGUGACCUGGGUCUCUGCAGAGGUUCAGGUUCAAUCCCCGGCCCAGUGCAGUGGGUUAAAGGAUCCUGUGUUGCCGUAGCUGCAGCAUAGGUUGCAACUGCGGCUUAGAUCUGAUCCUUGGCCCAAGGAACUCCAUAUGCCCCAGGACAGGUCCCUCUCCCCAAAAAAAGAAGAAAAGAAAAAGAAAAAAAAUGAGUGUGCACUCCUACUGUCCUUUCUCCCUUGACCGAAAGCAGCCGUGUUCAACCUAGAAACAUGUUCAAUACAUGGAAACCAUACUAUGGAAAAUUACUUACAAACCUCAGUUUUCCUCUGUGGUAUUAUGUAAGAGUUAACGUUUAUCAGAUUUCCCGUCAUGGCACAGUGGAAACAAAUUUGACUAGUAUCCAUGAGGAUGCAGGUUCGAUACCUGGCCUUGAUUAGUGGGCUGGGUGUCCGGCACUGCUGAGAGCUGUGAUGUAGGCCAGAAGCUGUAGCUCCAAUUUGAUCCCUAGCCUGGGAACAUCCAUAAGCUGCAGGAGCUGAUUAGAUUACAUGAAGGCUAACUUGCUCUAAGAAACUUUUGUUUCUUUUAAGGAUGAUUAACAUAUUUUUGGCAGGUGGAAAAUAAGCAGAAUAACUGAGCGAGGCCAGGGAUUGAACCUGUUUCCUCAUGGAUACCAGUCAGAUUCGUUUCUGCUUAGGCACAACAGGAACUCCAGCUUUUUCUACUUCUGAUAUAUUGUGAUACUUGUUUUUUUCAGAUUGUAAUAGAUAAGCAGCAGCAAAUUAGGGACAGGAGAAAUGCUAAUAGGAAAAUGCAUACAGAUAGGGAUAAGAAGUGAUGGCUGGCAUCUUGAUAGUGAAGUGGAGUCAGAGUUCAAGUGUUGGAAUAAGAACAUAAAAACUUAAUUUUCAGGUUAUUUAAUUUCAGAAUCAUUAUUCCUAGAAUAGGAUCAGUAUUUAUAGCAUGUCUGUUAUGGUUA
ensembl:lncRNA